AAUCAUGAUGGGGACACAAGGUAAGUAACUCUUUAAAACGUUCCCAAGCUUGAUACAAAGUUUCACUAUACUUUUGUGUAAAAUUUGAGACUUUCCUUUUCAAAGU